GACGAACGCUGGCGGCGUGCUUAACACAUGCAAGUCGAACGGUAAGGCCCCAGCUUGCUGGGGUACACGAGUGGCGAACGGGGGAGUAACACGUGGGGGACCUGCCCCGCACUUCGGGAUAAACCUGGGGAACUGGGGCUCAUACCGGGUAGGACAGCACCGAGCGGGUGGGGUGGAAGGGUUUGCGGGGUGGGCUGGGACCGCGGCCUAUCAGCUUGUUGGUGGGGUAAUGGGCUACCAAGGCGGCGACGGGUAGCCGGCCUGAGAGGGUGGACGGCCACAUUGGGACUGCGACACGGACCAGACUCCUACGGGAGGCAGCAGUGGGGAAUAUGGCACAAUGGGCGGAAGUCUGAUGCAGCGACGCCGCGUGGGGGAUGACGGCCUUCGGGUGGUAAACUCCUUUCUCCAUCGACGAAGGUGUUCUGACGGUAGAUGGAGAAGAAGCACCGGCUAACUACGUG
rnacentral:rRNA from 1 species